UGGGGAAUAUUGGACAAUGGGCGCAAGCCUGAUCCAGCCAUGCCGCGUGGGUGAAGGAGGCCUUCGGGUUGUAAAGCCCUUUUGUUGGGGAAGAAAUCGUGCAGGUGAAUAUCCUGCGCGGAUGACGGUACCCAAAGAAUAAGCACCGGCUAACUUCGUGCCAGCAGCCGCGGUAAUACGAAGGGUGCAAGCGUUAUCCGGAUUUACUGGGUUUAAAGGGUGCGUAGGUGGGCUUAUAAGUCAGUGGUGAAAUCUCCGAGCUUAACUUGGAAACUGCCGUUGAUACUAUAGGUCUUGAAUUAUCUGGAGGUAAGCGGAAUAUGUCAUGUAGCGGUGAAAUGCUUAGAUAUGACAUAGAACACCAAUUGCGAAGGCAGCUUACUACAUAUAAAUUGACGCUGAGGCACGAAAGCGUGGGGAUCAAACA
rnacentral:rRNA from 1 species